GGUGUCUAUGCAAUAUGGCAGCCGCUGUGGCCGCAGGCAGCCGGUGCACAUUGUCCUAUCGCUUACAUCGCCGUUUCUGUACUUCGUGUCCCGGAGUGAAAUAAGCCGUCUUGUUGCUUCAAGACCUCGCGAUGGAGCGCGGUCCGAAGAAAAGAAAGAGAGGACCCUACAAGACUUAUUUAAAUCCCAAGUCUCAGUUCCAGCUACCAAGGAGCACCGCACGCGCUUGCCCGCCGACCGGUGCCAGCCCUAGCAUGCCUUCUUCGAGUGAUGAGGCAGACAGCGACACUGAAAGGGCAGAUCCACCAAGUCAGAUUAAAUUGAUUGACCACAUGGCUGUGACAAAUUGUGAAAUAUCUGUCUGUAAGCCAGCUUGCUCUCUAGGUUUGAUUGUUUUUGGAAAUAUUUUUUUUUCGUUAAAGUCUAGUGUUUUGCAUAUUGUAUUAGGUAUCUGAAUAUUACCGAAAAGAGAUCGGUGGGUCUGAAUUUCUUUAAAUUUAUUAUGUCUCUUUUUGUGUGUAUUAAUGUUUUAUAUUUGCAUUGUGUACUGAAUGUUUUCCUAUAUUUAUUCAGUGGGUGCUGUAUUUUUUUUAUUCUUACUGCUAUUGUAUUCUUUAUUUUAGUGUGUGUGUCGGGGUACUGCAAUAUUACAUGACGCUUUUUAUUCUUUUUCAUACAAGUUCAGUCUUGUACACUAUGCAUAGAAUGUGUGCUUGUCAUUCAUACAUAAUUCAUUGUGCCACUGUGAGCAUCCUUAAAGGCCAACUCCAGCGAUUUUUCGACCAUGUCAAGGUAAUGGUGUUUCUGUGUUCCUGAGACACUCUUGUCACGAGCCCAAUAGCUGAAAUGCUCAGGAAAUUCGAAAACAAUUUUUAAUAAGCAAAAGGUGCAAAACCGAAACCCGACCGGGCGCCCGGUCUGCAUAUGAUGUACUAUUUGUUAAGAACUGGAGGCCGUAUACUGGUUCUGCCGGCACGUAGUAUGAAAACUGUGAAAGCCAGACCAGCGAAGCACCGGCAAAACACCACAGAGGAAGGAAGAAAGCUCUCCCGUGCUAUGGUCGUGCCAAACACCACCGCUGUCGUCUUGGGGCCAGCACAAUAAACAAUGUAGGGGCCAAAGUAGCGAUGCCAUCGCCUGCGUCACUUUCGUUGACAUGACAAACUUGACAUCGCACUGACAGUGUUGCCAAUAAUUCUGGCAAGCGAGGCGAGUUUUUCGAGGCAAUCUUUAAAAUUCAUUUGCAAAUAAUCUGCGCAUCUCUCAAGCCUGUAAUUGGCAUAAAUGACAGGAAUGUGCGUAAGAGUGUACCCAGCGAAUUUGAUUGAGAUUCGUUGACCUCGAAAAACCACCGGAGUUGACCUUUAAGCAUCCUUAAAUAAGUAAAGACAUGCUGUUCACGUGUAAACUGUUAACCUGUAUGAAACCUGUUUCUCAGUGCUUUACUGAAAUGCCAGUUGUAUGGCAAUGCCUUUUUCCUCCUUUGGAACUAAAAUUCCUUUUAUUGUGAUUCAAUUUACUGUUAUAAGUAUUUGUAAUAUUUGAAGUAUCUUGUACGCCUUGUGUUGCAGCACUGGCCAAGAAAUUUUUUUACACCAAAAUAUGUUCUGUGCUAUUUAAAUCCUGUUUGCCUUGAAAUAAAAUUCUUUUUUUUUCAAUGUUA
rnacentral:lncRNA from 1 species